CCUAUCGAGCUCCAUUCACACCACACAUCACUUUUAUCGAGUUCCACUCUCUGUCAACGAGCUACUUCUUCUCUCUGCCGCUGCCACCGCCGCUCGCAUCGCAUGAGCCCCCUCCACCACUCGCGUCUCAUGAGGCCCCUCCGCUACCGCUCUCGUCGCGUUGCUCCCUUCGUCGCAUUGCUCCCUUCAUCGCCAUUGUCGCAGAGCUCUCUCCGCCGCUCUCGUCGCGUCUGCUCCCUUCAUCGCCGUCGUCGCAGAGCUCUCUCCGCCGCUACUCUAAUCCAAACACUAUUUUUGUGAUUCUGUUGCUUGGAGGAGCUUAAUUUGGGAAGGAAUAGGGGCAUUGGGGUGACCAGUCACUUUACACCUACAUGGUUCUGCUAUAUAUGUUGCCAAACAUAGUGACUGUAUUACUCUUUUUCCUUCCACCUGUGCGGGGAAAGUUGGAGCGAUCUAAUAUGCGACUCAUCACACUCUUAAUGUGGUGGGCUCAGCCAAAAUUAUAUGUAGGAAGGGGAAUGCAGGAGAACAUGUUGUCACCACUGAAGUAAGUGUGAAAAUCUUAUAAAUUUCCUUUAUUUAUCACCAAGUUUUUCAAGAUGUGGAAUUCAGAAGUCAGAAGGAUGAGCAUAAAUGCAUAACUACCAUUGUUUUUGUUAUAUUACACAUAGUUUACUAUAUAAGUUUCGUGAGAAACUUCACCAUUCUAGUUAAAAGACUUCAUGAAGAAUAUAUCUAUGUACUUGCUGUUCAAAUUUUCACUAUAUUAUUUUUGAAACUUUUUCGGUCA